GGGGUAAUAAUUCAACUGGUUAGAAUAUCUGCCUGUCACGCAGAAUGUUGCGGGUUCGAGACCCGUUUAUCCCG
rnacentral:tRNA from 1 species